CCUACGGGUGGCAGCAGUGAGGAAUAUUGGUCAAUGGACGAGAGUCUGAACCAGCCAAGUAGCGUGAAGGAUGACUGCCCUAUGGGUUGUAAACUUCUUUUAUAUGGGAAUAAAAUGUUCCACGUGUGGGAUUUUGUAUGUACCAUAUGAAUAAGGAUCGGCUAACUCCGUGCCAGCAGCCGCGGUAAUACGGAGGAUCCGAGCGUUAUCCGGAUUUAUUGGGUUUAAAGGGAGCGUCGGUGGAUUGUUAAGUCAGUUGUGAAAGUGUGCGGCUCAACCGUAAAAUUGCAGUUGAAACUGGCAGUCUUGAGUACAGUAGAGGUGGGCGGAAUUCGUGGUGUAGCGGUGAAAUGCUUAGAUAUCACGAAGAACUCCGAUUGCGAAGGCAGUUCACUGGACUGCAACUGACACUGAGGCUCGAAAGUGUGGGUAUCAAACAGGAUUAGAUACCCCAGUAGUC
rnacentral:rRNA from 1 species